AUUGAACGCUGGCGGCAGGCUUAACACAUGCAAGUCGAGCGGGGGAGGUUGCUUCGGUAACUGACCUAGCGGCGGACGGGUGAGUAAUGCUUAGGAAUCUGCCUAUUAGUGGGGGACAACAUUCCGAAAGGGAUGCUAAUACCGCAUACGCCCUACGGGGGAAAGCAGGGGAUCUUCGGACCUUGCGCUAAUAGAUGAGCCUAAGUCGGAUUAGCUAGUUGGUGGGGUAAAGGCCUACCAAGGCGACGAUCUGUAGCGGGUCUGAGAGGAUGAUCCGCCACACUGGGACUGAGACACAGCCCAGACUCCUACGGGAGGCAGCAGUGGGGAAUAUUGGACAAUGGGCGGAAGCCUGAUCCAGCCAUGCCGCGUGUGUGAAGAAGGCCUUUUGGUUGUAAAGCACUUUAAGCGAGGAGGAGGCUCUUAAGGUUAAUACCCUUGAUGAGUGACGUUACUCGCAGAAUAAGCACCGGCUAACUCUGUGCCAGCCGCCGCAGUAAAAC
rnacentral:rRNA from 1 species